UACAGAGGUCUCAAGCGUUGUUCGGAUUCAUUGGGCGUAAAGGGUGUGUAGGUGGCGCCGUAAGUCGGGUGUGAAAUUUCGGAGCUUAACUCCGAAACUGCAUUCGAUACUGGCGUGCUUGAGGACUGGAGAGGAGACUGGAAUUCAUGGUGUAGCAGUGAAAUGCGUAGAUAUCGUAAGGAAGACCAGUGGCGAAGGCGGGUCUCUGGACAGUUCCUGACGCUGAGACACGAAGGCCAGGGGAGCAAACGGG
rnacentral:rRNA from 1 species